UUACGGCCAUAUCCCUUUAAAACAUCAGUACCGGUACGAUCACUGAAUUUAAGCUAUGUCAGGCUCGAUAAGUACAUAGAUGGGUGAUCUUUCGGGAAUACCAGGCGCUAUA